rnacentral:misc_RNA from 1 species
UUGGGGUUGCAUUUGGCUUUCGGUUGUUUGCUUGGCUCUUUAGCCUUGCGGGUGGCCGUUUCCCAGGGCGGCUUUGGGCAUGUCUAUCGUAAAGGUGCAUGAGUGGUGUUUGGUUUGAUACGGGUGGUUGGCUCCCUGCUUGAGCAGGCACGGCCACGUGUACAUUCCUUUUCAGUUGUACAACAAGGCUUGUAUCGUCUUGAUCGUAUAUGUGGGUUUCCUGUGUUGCAUACCUGAUCAACGGCAUCCUUUUGAUCAAAAACGUACCUUUUUCGUCAGGUGUUGCACCCGCAACGUCGGAUGAACCGUGUGGCAUCCUCUUUGAUCCAUAUAGUCGAUGAGCAUUCGUUGAUUGUUUGGCCCGUUGAGGGUGGCUUGGUCUCUCGGAUAUGGAAGCCAAAGUGGGCAUGGGUUCGUAUGAUCCUUUUAUUGCCCUCGUUGAGCGUUCUCGCUUCUCUUACACGACUGCCUUUCACGUAUGGCACGUCUCAGCGUGUUUGGCUACGUCGAAGAGGAAUGCUACC